rnacentral:ncRNA from 1 species
GCGAGAAAAUGGGGAGCCCGCUGGCGCGGGCUGAGAGGAGGCCAGCCAGGUCUUGACCCUUUACCUGAUGUGGAUCAUGCCAACGUAGGGAAAUCAUGAGGCGCACAG